rfam:Candidatus Harrisonbacteria bacterium RIFCSPLOWO2_01_FTLL_44_18 rifcsplowo2_01_scaffold_1427, whole genome shotgun sequence.
AUUUAAGAGGAUUUGAUCCUGGUCCAGGAUGAACGCUGGCGGCGUGGAUAAGGCAUGCAAGUCGAACGUGUCAGUGCUGUGCACUGACCGCAGAACGACGCAGAACAAACGCAGAAAAACGCAGAAGUAAAAUUCUGCGAAAGUCUGCGUGAAGUCUGUGUAAGUCCGCGGCCAAUGCACGGCAUUGGCAAGUGGCGAACGAGUUAGUAAUACCCUAGUACCUACCUUUGAGUCAGAGAUAGUCCGGGGAAACCCGGGGUAAUAUCUGAUAGUCUCGCAAGAGUAAAGGCGCGAGCCGCUCAAAGAUGGGCUUAGGUCCGAUCAGCUAGUUGGUAGGGUAAUUGCCUACCAAGGCUAUGACCGGUAGGGGAGCUGAGAGGCUGUUCCCCAACGACGUUACUGAGAACGGAACGUACUCCUACGGGAGGCAGCAGUCGAGAAUAUUCGACAAUGGGCGAAAGCCUGAUCGAGCGACGCCGCGUGCAGGAAGAAGGGCUUCGGUCUGUAAACUGCUUUUAGCUGGGAUGAAGUCGUGCCUCACUUUUGUGAGGCACGCGCAGAAGUAUGCAGAAUUGACGCAGACGGUCGCAGAAAUUUUCUGCGUUAUUCUGCGUGACGUCUGCGAGAGUCUGCGCGUGACUCGCAGCAGCGAGGCACGAUUGACCGUACCAGUUGAAUAAGGGGCUGCAAACCUCGUGCCAGCAGCCGCGGUAAUACGAGGGCCUCAAGCGUUAUCCGGAUUUAUUGGGCGUAAAGAGCGCGUAGGGGGCUCGGUUAGUCUGUUGUUAAAUCCCACUGCUCAACAGUGGGGCUGCAAUGGAAACGGCCGAGCUAGAGGAUGCCAGAGGCUGACGGAACGCAUGGUGUAGGGGUGAAAUCCGUUGAUAUCAUGCGGAACACCGAAGGCGAAGGCAGUCAGCUGGGGCAUUCCUGACCCUCAGUGCGCGAAAGCGUGGGCAGAAAAAAGGAUUAGAUACGGCCCGCCAUUUUCUAGAAUUUUUGGUACCAUCGGACAGUUGCUUUUCGGAAACAACGUCCAUUUGCUCCAGCGGCAAAUGGCGCUUCGCUCUCGGCGGUUUUUCGGUCGGCUGAAAUGUAAAACGACCGAACCAAGCAAAACCGCCUCCGAGAUGUUCCGAAGAAGCAACAUGUCCUCGACCAAAAAUUUAAAAACACCUCGCUUUGUUAGCGAGGCGGAUGGUAGGGCCCUGUGUCUCUUUUAGUAGCAAUACUAAUUGUAACUUGGCUAUAUCGGUGAACAUCCUGUUGAAAUAGGAAAACACCGAGGGAAGUCUUAAAUGACCCCGUAGAGACUACACGCCGAGCUCCUCGUUUCAAUUUGUGAAACGCGCGGACAGUCGCAGACUGGACGCGGACCAACGCAGAAUUUAUUUUCUGCGCAGGUCUGCGUAAAGUCAGUAUUGUUCCGCGCGCGAGCGAAGCGAGCGAGGAUGAAGAUAUAGUCCGACCUGCAUAGCGAUAUGCAGAGGUAAACAGAAAUGUUUUAUCCUCGUAGAAUUGCGGCAUUUGAUUUCCGCGUAUGUCCGCGUGAAGUCUGCGUAAGUCCGCGAUUGUUACGAAGUAACAAUAGUGACCCUUGUAUUCCACGCCCUAAACGAUGCAGACUAGCUGUUUCGAGUAUCGACCCUCGGAGCGGCGUAGCUAACGCGUUAAGUCUGCCGCCUGGGAAGUACGGCCGCAAGGCUAAAACUCAAAGGAAUAGACGGGGACUCGCACAAGCGGUGGAACAUGAGGUUUAAUUCGAUAGUAAACGAAGAACCUUACCAGGGCUUGAAAUUCCGACGACGAUAUUCCGAAAGGAGUAUUUUCUCUCAAGGACGUCGGAACAGGUGCUGCAUGGUUGUCGUCAGCUCGUGAUUUGAAUUGUUCCCUUAAGUGGGGUAACGAGCGCAACCCCUAUCCGAUGUUAUAUGUGUCAUCGGAGACCGCCCCCUCUUUUGCGCACAAGCGCAAAGGAAGCGCCAAAUUACAAACGCUAAAUUACAAACAAAUUCAAAAUUCAAAUUUCCAAACCCUAAACACGAGUUUUGGUCAUUGGGAUUUUGGUUAUUGAGUAUUGUUUGGGAUUUGGAAUUUGUGAUUUGGAAUUUCCUUUAUUCGUUUGCGAACAAAGGAGGGGGAGGAAGGCGGGGAUGACGUCAAAUCCGCAUGGCCCUCUGAUGCCCUGGGCUACACUCGUGUUACAAUGGCCGCUACAAUGGGUUGCUAAGCCGUAAGGCGGAGCUAAUCCCAUCAAAAGCGGCCUCAGUUCGGAUUGAGGGCUGCAACUCGCCCUCAUGAAGCUGGAAUCGCUAGUAAUCGCGGAUCAGCCAUGCCGCGGUGAAUACGUUCUCGAGUCCUGUACUCACCGCCCGUCACUGCAGGGGAACCGGGAAUAUCUGAAACCCCUCUUUUGUCCGCAAGCGGACAAAAGCGCAGAAUUACGCAGACAGUACGCAGAAGAACGCAGAAUUAUUUUUUCUGCGUUAGUCCGCGUGAAGUCCGCGACCGUCCGCGCUUUUGGCUUGUAGCCAAAAGAGGGGUUAAGGUAGGCUCGGCAACAUGGCAGAAGUCGUAACAAGGCACGGGUAGCGGAAGCUGUUCGUGGACUAAUUCAAUU